GUGGGGAAUUUUGGACAAUGGGCGCAAGCCUGAUCCAGCAAUGCCGCGUGCAGGAAGAAGGCCUUCGGGUUGUAAACUGCUUUUGUACGGAACGAAACGGUCCGGGUUAAUACCCUGGGCUAAUGACGGUACCGUAAGAAUAAGCACCGGCUAACUACGUGCCAGCAGCCGCGGUAAUACGUAGGGUGCAAGCGUUAAUCGGAAUUACUGGGCGUAAAGCGUGCGCAGGCGGUUUUGUAAGACAGGCGUGAAAUCCCCGGGCCCAACCUGGGAAUUGCGCUUGUGACUGCAAGGCUGGAGUGCGGCAGAGGGGGAUGGAAUUCCGCGUGUAGCAGUGAAAUGCGUAGAUAUGCGGAGGAACACCGAUGGCGAAGGCAAUCCCCUGGGCCUGCACUGACGCUCAUGCACGAAAGCGUGGGGAGCAAACAGGAUUAGAAACCCUAGUAGUCC
rnacentral:rRNA from 1 species